GUGUCAGCAGCCGCGGUAAGACGAACCGUGCGAACGUUGUUCGGAAUCACUGGGCUUAAAGGGCGCGUAGGCGGGCGCACAAGUCAGGGGUGAAAUCCCACGGCUCAACCGUGGAAGUGCCUUUGAUACUGUGGGCCUUGAGGGAGGUAGGGGCGUGCGGAACUUCCGGUGGAGCGGUGAAAUGCGUAGAUAUCGGAAGGAACACCGGUGGCGAAAGCGGCGCGCUGGACCUCUACUGACGCUGAGGCGCGAAAGCCAGGGGAGCAAACGGGAUUAGAUACCCCGGUAGUCC
rnacentral:rRNA from 1 species